rnacentral:rRNA from 1 species
AGCUCGUAGGCGGUUUGUCGCGUCUGCUGUGAAAUCCCGAGGCUCAACCUCGGGCCUGCAGUGGGUACGGGCAGACUAGAGUGCGGUAGGGGAGAUUGGAAUUCCUGGUGUAGCGGUGGAAUGCGCAGAUAUCAGGAGGAACACCGAUGGCGAAGGCAGAUCUCUGGGCCGUAACUGACGCUGAGGAGCGAAAGGGUGGGGAGCAAACAGGCUUAGAUACCCUGGUAGUCCACCCCGUAAACGUUGGGAACUAGUUGUGGGGUCCAUUCCACGGAUUCCGUGACGCAGCUAACGCAUUAAGUUCCCCGCCUGGGGAGUACGGCCGCAAGGCUAAAACUCAAAGGAAUUGACGGGGACCCGCACAAGCGGCGGAGCAUGCGGAUUAAUUCGAUGCAACGCGAAGAACCUUACCAAGGCUUGACAUAUACGAGAACGGGCCAGAAAUGGUCAACUCUUUGGACACUCGUUUACAGGUGGUGCAUGGUUGUCGUCAGCUCGUGUCGUGAGAUGUUGGGUUAAGUCCCGCAACGAGCGCAACCCUCGUUCUAUGUUGCCAGCACGUUAUGGUGGGAACUCAUGGGAUACUGCCGGGGUCAACUCGGAGGAAGGUGGGGAUGACGUCAAAUCAUCAUGCCCCUUAUGUCUUGGGCUUCACGCAUGCUACAAUGGCCGGUACAAAGGGCUGCAAUACCGUGAGGUGGAGCGAAUCCCAAAAAGCCGGUCCCAGUUCGGAUUGAGGUCUGCAACUCGACCUCAUGAAGUCGGAGUCGCUAGUAAUCGCAGAUCAGCAACGCUGCGGUGAAUAC